AAUAUGUUGUCUCUGUGAUGAAGUGCUUCCAUGGAAGAUGCUCCUCUUGUUCCUUUCAUGGCUGAGAGCACCCAGAGAUCGAGGAAUCUGCUGAUCUAGGCUAGUCUACUGGAAAGGACUUCUUCCAUAUACCUACCAUUCUCCAUGGACAACCUGGUUCUUGAGGACAUGAUCUUCUCAGGAUGACACCUGAGAUUCAAAGAACCAAGUAGAAGGAUAUAAAUCCCAUGAUGAGGCCAGAGCAAGAACAUGGCACAAGUGAAUAUGAAUUGAGGAUAAUGAUUGAAUCACCACAUUCUUAUACAUGACAUUUGUCCAUGUCACCCAUAUAAUAGUACAAGAUGAAACUUCUUACCUGCAUUGUAAACUAACUUUCUCUUAAGGUGCUCACCUUGCAAUUUAUCCCUAUGUGAGUGGGAUUUAGGGGGCUUUGACUAAAAGCACCACCUCUCUCAGACCACUUUGUGACCUUUGAGGGUGCUCAGAGUCUGGGGCUCUCAGGGCUGGGCAGUAUUUAGCCCUACAGGGCUAGUAGUGAUCGUAGUGAUCUGAGCAUUGAGUAUGGGGGUGGGUGGUAGAUUGGUCUCUGCUUUCUGCUAUCAAUGCCACUGUAGGAAAGUGCUUUUAGUUCAUUUAAAUUUCCUUUGAUGCUGUGAGGAGAGUACAAGGAAAUAUCAAUUGUCUCAGCCUCAGAGUCAAGUAUUUAGUAUUCUACCUCCUCCCUGGCUCUUCCUAUCUUAUCAAUAUGGCUUGCAUUUCUUGUGCUAGAAAACUACAGUCUUCCUGCGUUCUAUUUGGUUGCAGAUACGUGUCCAGUUUUGACUGCCCAGUAUCUGAAUAUCUGUGGUAUGGUUGAGGCAUCUCCCACCAUACACAAUUUCAAAGGAAGCAGACCCUACAUUCCACUACAAAAACCAAAUACUUCUCUGGCCUCCCUUGGAAUAAAGCCUGCAUAUUUGA